AGGGCAGUAGCUCCAACUGGUAGAGCGUCGGUCUCCAAAACCGAAUGUUGGGGGUUCGAGUCCCUCCUGCCCUG
rnacentral:tRNA from 2 species